rnacentral:rRNA from 1 species
AGAGUUUGAACCUGGCUCAGGAUGAACGCUAGCGGCAGGCCUAACACAUGCAAGCCGAGGGGUAACGAUGUCUUCGGACAGUCGACGACCGGCGCACGGGUGAGUAACGCGUAUGCAACCUGCCCCUUACAGGGGGAUAGCCCGGAGAAAUCCGGAUUAAUACCCCAUAGGACCUAAGAGUCGCAUGGCUUUAAGGUUAAAAUUUCGAUGGUAAGGGAUGGGCAUGCGUGCCAUUAGUUAGUUGGUAAGGUAACGGCUUACCAAGGCAACGAUGGCUAGGGGUUCUAAAAGGAUGGUCCCCCACACUGGUACUGAGACACGGACCAGACUCCUACGGGAGGCAGCAGUGAGGAAUAUUGGUCAAUGGGUGAGAGCCUGAACCAGCCAUGCCGCGUGCAGGAUGACGGCCCUAGUGGUUGUAAACUGCUUUUAAACAGGAAUAAUUCCUUCUACGUGUAGAGGGUUGCAUGUACUGUAAGAAUAAGCAUCGGCUAACUCCGUGCCAGCAGCCGCGGUAAAUACGGAGGAUGCGAGCGUUAUCCGGAUUUAUUAGGUUUAAAGGGUGCGUAGGCUGUAAUGUAAGUCAGUGGUGAAAUCUUCCGGCUCAACCGGGAAACUGCCGUUGAUACUGCAUUACUUGAGUUCAGUUGAGGUAGGCGGAAUGUGUAAUGUAGCGGUGAAAUGCAUAGAGAUUACACAGAACACCGAUUGCGAAGGCAGCUUACUAAGCUGAAACUGACGCUAAUGCACGAAAGCGUGGGGAGCGAACAGGAUUAGAUACCCUGGUAGUCCACGCCGUAAACGAUGAGCACUCGCUGUUGGCGAUACAUUGUCAGUGGCUGAGCGAAAGCAUUAAGUGCUCCACCUGGGGAGUACGUUGGCAACAAUGAAACUCAAAGGAAUUGACGGGGGCCCGCACAAGCGGUGGAACAUGUGGUUUAAUUCGAUGAUACGCGAGGAACCUUACCUGGGUUUAAAUUUAGGAAGAUUUAUGCCGAAAGGCAUUUUCCCUUCGGGGCUUUCUAGAAGGUGCUGCAUGGCUGUCGUCAGCUCGUGCCGUGAGGUGUCGGGUUAAGUCCCAUAACGAGCGCAACCCCUACUGUUAGUUACCAUCGGUUCAAGCCGGGGACUCUAACGGGACUGCCACCGUAAGGUGAGAGGAAGGUGGGGAUGACGUCAAGUCAGCACGGCCCUUACGUCCAGGGCUACACACGUGUUACAAUGGCCGGUACAAAGGGCAGCUACAUGGCGACAUGAUGCUAAUCUCUAAAACCGGUCUCAGUUCGGAUCGAAGUCUGCAACUCGACUUCGUGAAGCUGGAAUCGCUAGUAAUCGCGUAUCAGCAAUGACGCGGUGAAUACGUUCCCGGGCCUUGUACACACCGCCCGUCAAGCCAUGGAAGCCGGGGGUACCUGAAGUCUGUAACCGCAAGGAGCGGCCUAGGGUAAAACUGGUGACUC